GGCACUGCAUUAAUCUGAUAUCAUCUUCUUUGAUCUCAGAAGUUAAGUAAGGCUGGGCCUGGUUAGUACCUUGAUGAAAGACCGCAGGAAAUACCAGGUGCCA
rnacentral:rRNA from 1 species